rnacentral:misc_RNA from 1 species
AUUUUUUUUUUAUUUGUUUGGUUACUGACGAGUUUUAGGCGCUUGUCUUCUAUGUCUGUGUUUAAGAUUUGCUGGACAAUUCAAAAUUAUUGUUGAAAUAAUGAUUUUCUUUCCAUAAACCAAAGCAUUCAAAACAUUGGAUUUAUUCAAGUGUGUGGAGGAUUGCUUGGGCUUUUGAUAACUUGAGCCUUGACGUAAGAAUGAUUCCCUUUAAAACUGAUCUGUGAUACCCACUGCUUGAUCAUACAUUUCUGGCUUUGAUCCAUAUUGAUGUCCUGGAUACUAUUUGUUUUUUUAGAAAUAAUGUUUCCGUUAGUGCUGAAUGAUUUCUUGGGAGAAUUCUGCAACAUGUAGAUGCAGAAUAACUUAAUUGUGCAAAUAGUACUAUCCACCAUGUUUCAU